UAUGAUAUGAUGCUUUGGUUUGAAGAGU
rnacentral:piRNA from 1 species